rnacentral:misc_RNA from 1 species
GGAUGAAGAACGUAGCGAAAUGCGAUAAGUAAUGCGAAUUGCAGAAUUCAGUGAGUCAUCGAAUCUUUGAACGCACAUUGCGCCCUGUGGUAUUCCGCAGGGCAUGCCUGUUCGAGCGUCAUUUCAACCCUCAAGCCUCGCUUGGUGUUGGGCCCUGCCCGCCGCGGCCGGCCCUAAAGAUAGUGGCGGCGCCGCCUGGCCCUCAGCGUAGUACAGCUCUCGCUCCAGGGUCCGGCGGCAGCCUGCCAGAACCCCCCAACUCUGUGGUUGACCUCGGAUCAGGUAGGGAUACCCGCUGAACUUGAGCAUAUCAAUAAGCGGAGA